GUCACCGAAUUUCCCACCCAAUCCUUUUUAAAAUUUUCACACAAUCCAAUCCUUUUAAAAUUUUAACACAAUUGUUUCCGCCUCCAUAUUCCCGUUCUCUCAUCUACUGUGAUUCCGACUACUACUGCUCACAUACAAAACUGCCACCAACCAUUCCAUCUUUCUGUCACUCGCAGAAAACCUAAAUCAAACCUCACGAACCCCUCUGAUUUUGAAAGUAUCACCGUCCACAUUUUAUCUCUCGCCCUCUAUUACCAGAUAUAUUGUCGUCCACAACCACAAACCAGAGACACGUUGAUCGACCAUCGCAAAUGAACCCGGGACGCCGAAAUAGCAAUACCAUCACUUGCUUCUCCAUCUCGGUCACCAAGCUCCGGAAUUCGAUUCAUCAGAUCUGCCUUUUUAUCGCUAUUUAGAUAAUUUGGUGUAAUCGCUGGUGAAGUUAAUGAAUUUUUGGAGCUUGACAUUAUCAGGAACACGAUCAAGAUCUAGAGACAAUUAUGCUGGUGCAAGAAUAGAGGGAGGUGAAAUAACUUUGGAUUUUAUGAAGAAAAUGACAGAGGACUUCAAUAAUAAGAAAAUGUUACAUAAACGGGAUAAAACAAUACAAGCAACAUGGGAGAUAAGUUUCGAGCCUGUGUUUAGGAAAAAAACGAUAACUAGAAAUUGACAACCGAAUCAUCUCAACAAGAUUUAACUGAGACCAAAGAUCCGAGAAAUGAGGUUAUUGAGCUCAAAGAGGAAUUGAAACAUAGUAAUGGAAAAUACGGAAGAAUGUCAUAGUUCUUGAGCCGAAAGUAUCUAGAUUUUGAGAGCGUAAUAUAUGCGCCGUCUGUUAGUGGAUCGAUGUUUUAGAUGGGCUACAUAACGAAAGUGACAAUACUAUCUAAAACAUUAGUUAGGACAUUUAUUACUUUUUUUUUAUCUAAUGCUAUUCUAAAUUUUCCAAUUCCUCAAUUGGUGUUACUUUGAAUGAUUAUUGUUAUGAUAUUAAUGCUUGAAUAAACACAUUGGAGGCUACAAAUAAAUGUUAUU